rnacentral:rRNA from 1 species
GGUGAACGCUGGCGGCCUGCCUUACACAUGCAAGUCGAACGGCAGCACGGGUGCUUGCACCUGGUGGCGUGUGGCGAACGGGUGAGUGAUACUUCGGAACGUAUCAUACUGGGGGGGAUAACACCGCGAAAGCUGUGCUAAUACCGCAUAAUCCCUAAGGGGGAAAGCGGGGGACCGUAAGGCCUCGCGCAAUUAGAGCGGCAGAUACCGGAUUAGCUAGUUGGUGAGGUAAAGGCACACCAAGGAAACGAUCAGUAGCUGGUCUGAGAGGACGAUCAGCCACACUGGGACUGAGACACGGCCCAGACUCCUACGGGAGGCAGCAGUGGGGAAUUUUGGACAAUGGGGGCAACCCUGAUCCAGCAAUGCCGCGUGAGUGAAGAAGGCCUUCGGGUUGUAAAGCUCUUUUGUCAGGGAAGAAACAGCAGCUCUAACACAGUUUGCGAAUGACGGUACCUGAAGAAUAAGCACCGGCUAACUACGUGCCAGCAGCCGCCGUAA